CACGACAUUAAUAGUUACUCGUAAACUGUCACGUCGGUAACUUUGCGCCGAAACAUUUUCCCAUUUAGCGACUAGCGCUACACGAAAGGUGGCGAAUUAACGAAUUUCCAACAGAAAAAUGGCGGUGUUUAUAUACGUGCAUUCGUAAAUAAUACAAUAUAGAACAGUAUAAAUGGUAUGUUUCCCCAAGAGAAACAACAAAACGAUCAGCAACGGCUACUGGAAAGGAACGAUUGAUUGUUAUCCGAUAAUAGAAACAAAACAGGCCAGCGAACCGGCUAAUGCGCCACUUCAAUUCCCAACGAUGACAGAAAGUUUACGUUAGAAUGUUUGUUUAAUGGAAUGCAAUAAUAUUACGCGGGUAAUUAGCCAGUGCAUUUUCAAGUGUCAUUCUUUCGAAUGUAAAAAGUUUCGUGAUUGGUUCUCUUCAUGCUCGAAGACCGUCGCACACAGAGAAUUCGAUACAACGAUACUUCUGAUGUGAGUGCUACUAUUCUCGUUAAAAACAUAUAAACUCCUCGAGUAACCAAUUUCUAGAACAGUCCGAAAAAGUUAUGAAGUACUUUUCAAAAUGCAUUGCGUCGCUCCAUACAUCCAAAUGGGUUGAAAGACAUUUGUUUUGAAAUUUUUUUUUUUUUUCCUUUAUAAAGUUGAAUAUCGAAAUGUGAAUAUUGUAGAAGGUAAUUAUAAGUAAAUUAUAAGUAAAAAUCAGGAACGAUAUAUAAAAACAGUUAAAUUUUGAUCAUGAAAGUCAAUUUUGUUUUUUCAUUAAGAUAUUCGAACAGUAUGACAUUAUCCUCGAUUCCAGAAUCCCAAUGACUUAAUAACGUUCGAAGAUAUAACAAGCGGAAUCCCAUUAAACGAAAAGUCCGCCGGUACAUGAAGAGUAUCUCGGCAAAGCGUACAUUUCCCUGGAAAUAUUUUCCUUUCAUUCAUUUCAUAGCAUCAAUGGCAAAGUAAAGAAGAUAGAAGAGAAAUAGCACGGGAACAGAUGGUGAAUUCAUUACUGGCAGUGUUAAGAAGCAGCGUUGAAUUAGCGAAAGCAACGCCAUCCUAACAGUGUAUACUCGUUACCACGCCUCUUAUUAUUAAAGCCGCGAGGCAUCGGAUCUUCGUCGCUUUUCACCAUGAAGAGAAACCACGGAACAUCACGAUAGCAUCGAAGUUAGUAGUCGGGUGAUUACACUCGUGCGUUCCUUAAUUAUAAUUGAGAAGUCGAUGAAGAAUCGCCAAAAUUUUCAAUUUUUAAGGAUCUAUUGUAUUAAUGGACUUUUUUUUUAAGAAGUUAAGUAAUUAAUGCUGGAUACAAUAAUAGGAACGAGAAAAAAUUCGAAAGCAAAAACAGUUCCAUCCAUAAGCGGUAGAAUAAAUUAUGAAACUAACAGGAAAUCUGGAGAUGCAUUACGAGCGAUAUCCUAUUGCCUCGCCAUGGAUAAUCCCGCACCCUCGACAUUUAUUGCCUCUCGAAAAGCCAGCGCAGGUAAUCUCCGCAGCUUCGGCUGGCACGCGAACCGACCGGCACACGAGCGCCCAUAACCAUUAACAAAUCUUGUAACCUAGCACGAAAUAAAGUGCUCUCGUGAAUCGACCGUUUGAUUCCAAUAGCUACGGGGGCUGCUUUUAUGGGAGCAAGACGAGAGACAUGAAGGGGAACCAGAAGCUAAAGAACGAAGAGGAAGCGAUAGAGAAUCAUGAAAGAAAGAAGAGUGUCCCUAUAUAUGUGCACGCGCGCGCAUACAUCGUGCCACAAGGGUAUUGUCGAUCUCCUCUCGCAAUUCUCCGCGAUGCUCGAACGGUGCACACAACAUCACGAAGAAAAGAGAAAGGACGACUCUUCUGUGCCCGAAACUCGGGUAUUAUGAUCAUCGAACGUAAUACGAUAUGGCCAAACUUCGGAUAAACAUACACGCCCCUAGCACAACGGGCUGACCUGAACCUAAGACCUGCCGGUGAAAUCAAUUUUAACGGACUGAAACUAAAGGGAAUUAUCAGAUUGAUGCACAGACUUAGGUUUCAGUGUGGUGAAGAUAGUAACUUUUGGUUGUGAGAGAUUAUAUAGAGGAAUGAAGAUUUUGAUUGUUGAGAAAAACGGAAUGAUUUCAUUACGGAAUGAUUUUUUCAUUUCACUAUAAAAUGUCUCUUAUAUUUCUUUAUAAAAUAAGUUUUUUUAUAAAAUUUACAAAAUUUUCUUAUAAAAAUUAAAGAAAAGGAUAUGAAAAUAAAUAAAAAAAUAAAUAUAAAAGUAAAAUGAAUAAAUUCUUUGCAAAAUAAUCAUCAUUUGCAAAGAAAAUGUAUUUUCAUACAAUCUUUACAAAAAUUUCACAAAUAAUGAAAUACAUGAACAAAGAUAAAAAUCUAAGAAAAGAAAGAUAAAUGAUUACUAAAAAAUAAAAAAAGAAUAUAUGAUUUAUAUUAUGCAUCAUCAAAAAUUCAAAAAGCAAAGUUUAAAGAUUUUAAAUAAUCUAAGAACAAUAUUUCUUAUAAUAUUAAAAUUGUAAAAAUUGUGUAAAAAAAUUGUCGCAACCAAAACGAUUUAUACCAUCCAUUCUAACUAAUCUUAUUGUUUCCAUGGGCCGAUUUAUAUUAAACAGAGAAGAAAGGGGCACGAUUCAACAUGAAACGAAAGCGAACAAAGAAGAGACAAAUUGGCGGUGUAGGCGCUCUGCUUAUUAAACCCAACGCCUGACCCAACCUGACCCGAAGCAAUACACCCCGAUUGUGCCGAGUGUUGUAGUCGAAUAGGAGGGGAAAGUCGGUUGUACCGAAUCGGUAGAAGCUUUUUGGGUAAAAGGCGCCACCCUUCGGCGUCGAGUCUCCGUUGAAGGGGCUGUUGGCCCGACAGAAGCCAAGGAAAGGCGUGUCGGGUUACCGGCUAACCCCGGGGGUAACCGCGAACCCCACCUAAGCCCAUAAGCGUACACGUAUUUGCGCACCCCUUCGUAUAACUCAUUGGGAAGGUCACAAAUUUCGCUCGAAGGUUGCGGUGCGAUCCGAACCACCUAUGAUCCUAUGGAGCACCAUUGGGCCACCGUUAGCAAAAAGUAAAAAUUCGUCAAUUUGGGAUAAAAUAGAAUUAGAAUCCUUCUAAAUGAUGAAGAAAAUUCAAAAAUUCAAAAGAGGAGGUUGUGUCGGCAUUUUAUACUUUUGAACAAACUAUAGAGCUGAUUCAUGGAACUAUACCCUUCCGUCCCGAUUGGAGACAACUCGAAAUCCAUCCGAAGAAAAUGACCUACGUAUAAUUCAUAUGCAAUUGAUAGAAUAUGAGUACUUAUAUCAAUAAAAGAAAAUUAUACAAUAACGUACAAUACAUACACAAAUACUACUUUCUGUGACACAAUGGUUUUUUCCAAUUCUUUUGAAUCAUGUGAAAAAGCUCGGAUAAUAUCGAAAUCAAAGUAAAGAGAAGAAAAAACUAUAUAAAACCUUCAUGUCGUAGUUCAUCGAUGCUCGGAUUACAAUCAAACACUUUGCUGCCGAAGGGCGGUUCGGGGGUGGGCGAGCAAGGGUUAGCCACCCCCGCGCCCAACAGGGUUCUUGCCGCGUGCAGCGCCGCCGCCGCCGCUUCCCUGCUCCUCGCUGCCGUAGCACUUGGCGGGUAAUCCGAAGCGCUGUCACUUUCGGCGAUGCCGCCACCGCCACCGCCGCCUCCGCAAGGACGAAGGUGCAGGUUCAGUCGACCGCCGCCGACCGUGCCACCACCUCCACCGCCUCCUCCGCCGCCGCCUCCGCCACCGCCGCCACCUCCGGCCACGCUAACACAAUGCUAGAAAAAACAAACGAAUAAUCGUUAACUUAAUUUAAUCGCUCAAAGUUGAGAAUCGUAGAAUCUAAAUAAGUUUGACAGUAAAAUAAUUAAAUUCUCUUGAAACUUGUUUUUUGAAAGUAAUCUUCACAAGUACAAUUGAGAUUGUGAAACAAUAAUAUUAAUUUCUCAAUAUAGAAAAAUUAUGCUUGAAAAUUUUAUUCUUAAAUAUAACGGGAAAAAAUAUUGAAUAUGAUUGAUUAUGACUUUUGUAUAAUUUAUAGAAAGAUUCAAAGUUUAUACUACUUUAAUUGCUAAAUGCUUCCAGCAAGAGUUUAUGUGUUUUUUCUGUACUUUUAUUAAAAUUUGAAAUGUAUUUUCAUAGAUAGAAAAUAAUUCAUGAGAUACGUAUGCGAAAAUUAUAUUAAGUGAAAAAUAUUUCUAGAGAGAUAUUUUCUUUUACAUUUAUUUUAUAUGAAAUUUAGUCAUAUAUAAAUAUGCAACAUAUAAUGAGCAAGAAAUUGUCUAUAACGAAAUGUAUAUCCUAUUCAUAAACUAAAAAAAUUAAUCGAUUAUGAAUUACUGUAAAGUCAAACAUUAUAGACAUUCUUAGAAAUUCAAUAUCUUUUAUGUAAAUUUGACGACUUAUUCAUCAAAAUCUUAGAAAAAGUAACGUUUUAUACAUAAAUCACUGAAAAUAGCGCAAGUAAAAUAGAAAAUAAAAAAUAUUGCAUCAGAAUCUUAUAACACUGACGACAGAAAAUCAACAAAGCACAGAAAGCUAAUGCAUGAGAUUUACAAGCAAAAGCUUGUUGGUCUUUUACAAAAAUAGCUAGUGUUUAUUCAUACCAAACGAAGCACAUGCUUCCAUCUUCUGUUUUAACAUUUUGCAUUUCACAUAGAUAUUUUUUAUUUUGUUCUAGGCAAAGCAAACUAGUUUUAUUAUAUGUAUAAUAUUUUUUUUUGAAAAUCAUACAUCACAUUCAAAAUUUUGAAAAAUUAACUGCUUUAUAUGCACCUUAUUAUUAUAUAUAUAUGCAUAUGCAUGUACGUAUUUACAACAAUUUCUUUCUAAAUUCUAAUAUAUUUUUUUAAAUUUCAACAAGAAAACAACAUGCGUGUUCCUAUAAAAUUAACUCGACGUUUUUUUUUAUUCCAAAUCUUGUUUCGAAAUAAUAUUCCGCCUUGUGAUUUUCUCUGUAUUUUUAAACAAAGAAAAAGAAAAUGCUGAAUCAUGUUUUGUUUAAAUUUUGCUUCCACAUCUCAUAUAUCGCGAUACGGUAACACGAUGUAAUAUCUUAUAUUUCCCACUGAUUUUUGUUAAAAUUUAAUUUUGAAGCUUAUAGAGUUAGGCAGACCAUUGGAAACACAAGAAAUACAUGUCAAGUAGUAAAAUCCUGAUGGAUUAAACACGGAUGGAAAAAUAUUAACAUUUCAGCGAUUUUUCUCUUUAGUGGCUAAAAAACGUGAUUUCAAACUCGAGCAUUUGCAAUUUACCGACAAGCAAGUGGAAAGAAAACGUGCAAAGAAACGCAUUUUCGUAAAACUCGUUCACACUCUUACAUUUUAAAUAGUCCGAUCCGUUAAGAUGCUUAGUUUAAACAUGAACGCGGAUGCGCGCGCAUCGUGUCGACAUCGAAUGAAAAGCUGAAAUAAUUUCUUAACCUCGCGGCGACGUUUCCUCAACAAUGGUAUUUGUUAGCCAAGCGGACGAACAUUGAAAUGUUGGUUAUUACGAAAUAUAGUGAGAGAAAGAUUUCUAAGACUACACUCGUCGACUUUUUAAGCAUUAAUUAAUUAAAAACGGGAUGUUGCGUACUGAUCAAGUGGAAGGUGAUUGUCGUCUAUUGUGCGAUUUCAAGGUCGUGAAAAUUUUAUGUAUGUAUGAUAUCGUUGAGAAAUAAAGGAAAUAGGUAACGAAUUAAAUUAAUAAUUAGAAGAAAUACAUGGAAAGAAGAAAAAAAAAUACGCUUUGAAUAUUAAUAAAAAUUUAUUCCCAAUAAAAAUAAAUUAUUUAAAAAAUUUUUGAUUAAAAUAAAAUAAAUCUUAAGUAUUUUCUCAUUGUUACAUAGUUAAUAUUUCCUUUUUCGAAUCUAUUAAUCUAACAUCGGCAUAAAUAAUGUCUUCGCCCAUUCUUCCCCAUGCAUUCAUAUAUUUUAUAAAUUAAAAAAUCCACACAAUUCACAGGAAACGGAAGAAAAAAUAUCACCUCGUAAAUCUAUCAGAUUAAUAAUCGCGAUGUAUUAAAAAGCAUAUGUAUGAAACAUUGGAAGGGAAAAAAAGAUCAAAUUUUGCAUGUCGACAGGUCAAAGUUUCGCGUAAAGGCAGAUCAAUGUUUCCGUAUGAAACACAUCGAACCGACUAUCAAAAAUAACUGGCCGAUAUUGUUGCGAGCGAUUUCAUAAGCCAACGGUAAAUCACGAGAACUCGAUUUGAUCUCUGUACUUCUGCACGCUCUUUCACGUGCCCUUCCACGCAUACAAAACGGCGGCCGCUUCAAAGAACAUAAUUCAGGGGAUUAUCGCACGCGCGAAACGGGGCAAAUAUUGGCACUGUCGAAACUGGUUCGCCGAAAGCAAAUUUCGAAGUGCACCCAGAAAAUAAAUAACGCCGCGGCGAAUAAUAAACAUCGCGGUGUCGACGGUAAAUUUUUUCAUUUUUCCAAGCUUGAUUACGCUCCGCAUAAAUUUAUCGUUCAUUGGCCGACCUUUUUCGUUACUUGAAAAUUGCGAUCGAAAGGCGAAUCGAAAACAUGAGACACAACUAACAGAAAUAAUUUUUUUUGAUUGAUGCCAGUUAAUGUGCAAACAAUAGCGAUAAUUUUUCUUGUUCAUUUGAGAUAGAAAGUUUUAUUUGAUUGUAUGUGAAUUGCAAUAAGAAAAUGAUGAAUGAAGAGCUAAUUUAUUAGAUUUUGAUAUAUUUCACGCUGUUAUGGAAUGUAGUAAAGUAUGUACAAUACAAUAGUACAGAAAGAAUAUAGAAUACAAUAAUACUUGUAGUUAUAGCAAUUAUUUAAGAAACUCGCUAAUUAAACAUUAUUACUGAAUAUCAUAAAUACAACUAAACAUUUUAAAUUAUUAUGUUGAAAUUCUAUUAUGUUUAGAUUUUGUAUAAUCU